UACGCAUCUAAGGGAAACCGAUAAGUAAUCCACCUGGGGAGUACGUUCGCAAGAAUGAACUCAAAGGAAUUGACGGGGGCCCGCACAAGCGGAGGAGCAUGUGGUUUAAUUCGAUGAUACGCGAGGAACCUUACCUAGGCUUAAAUGACAGUUGACGGUUGCGGAAACGUAACUUCUCCACAAGAGCAACUGUUAAGGUGCUGCAUGGCUGUCGUCAGCUCGUGCCGUGAGGUGUUUGGUUAAGUCCAGCAACGAGCGCAACCCCUAUUCUUAGUUGCCAUCAGGUAAAGCUGGGGACUCUAAGAAAACUGCCCGCGCAAGCGGUGAGGAAGGUGGGGAUGACGUCAAGUCAGCACGGCCCUUACGUCUAGGGCUACACACGUGCUACAAUGGCCGGUACAGUGGGCAGCUACAUGGUGACAUGAUGCUAAUCUCCAAAACCGGUCUCAGUUCGGAUCGAAGUCUGCAACUCGACUUCGUGAAGUUGGAUUCGCUAGUAAUC
rnacentral:rRNA from 1 species